rnacentral:tRNA from 1 species
AAGAAUAAAGUUCUGUGAAUGAGAGCUUGUCUUGCUCUUGGGGUAUUCUUG